AUGACAGUUUACCAUCCAGGGUUACACCAGGGCAGUUUACCAUCCAGGGUUACACCAGGGCAGUUUACAAUCCAGGGUUACACCAGGGCAGUUUACAAUCCAGGGUUACACCAGGGCAGUUUACCAUCCAGGGUUACACCAGGGCAGUUUACAAUCCAGGGUUACACCAGGGCAGUUUACCAUCCAGGGUUACACCAGGGCAGUUUACAAUCCAGGGUUACACCAGGGCAGUUUACCAUCCAGGGUUACAUCAGGGCAGUUUACAAUCCAGGGUUACACCAGGGCAGUUUACCAUCCAGGGUUACACCAGGGCAGUUUACAAUCCAGGGUUACACCAGGGCAGUUUACAAUCCAGGGUUACACCAGGGCAGUUUACAAUCCAGGGUUACACCAGGGCAGUUUACAAUCCAGGGUUACACCAGGGCAGUUUACAAUCCAGGGUUACACCAGGGCAGUUUACAAUCCAGGGUUACACCAGGGCAGUUUACAAUCCAGGGUUACACCAGGGCAGUUUACCAUCCAGGGUUACACCAGGGCAGUUUACCAUCCAGGGUUACACCAGGGCAGUUUACCAUCCAGGGUUACACCAGGGCAGUUUACAAUCCAGGGUUACACCAGGGCAGUUUACCAUCCAGGGUUACACCAGGGCAGUUUACAAUCCAGGGUUACACCAGGGCAGUUUACAAUCCAGGGUUACACCAGGGCAGUUUACAAUCCAGGGUUACACCAGGGCAGUUUACAAUCCAGGGUUACACCAGGGCAGUUUACAAUCCAGGGUUACACCAGGGCAGUUUACCAUCCAGGGUUACACCAGGGCAGUUUACCAUCCAGGGUUACACCAGGGCAGUUUACAAUCCAGGGUUACACCAGGGCAGUUUACCAUCCAGGGUUACACCAGGGCAGUUUACCAUCCAGGGUUACACCAGGGCAGUUUACCAUCCAGGGUUACACCAGGGCAGUUUACAAUCCAGGGUUACACCAGGGCAGUUUACCAUCCAGGGUUACACCAGGGCAGUUUACCAUCCAGGGUUACACCAGGGCAGUUUACCAUCCAGGGUUACACCAGGGCAGUUUACAAUCCAGGGUUACACCAGGGCAGUUUACAAUCCAGGGUUACACCAGGGCAGUUUACAAUCCAGGGUUACACCAGGGCAGUUUACAAUCCAGGGUUACACCAGGGCAGUUUACCAUCCAGGGUUACACCAGGGCAGUUUACAAUCCAGGGUUACACCAGGGCAGUUUACCACCCAGGGUUACACCAGGGCAGUUUACCAUCCAGGGUUACACCAGGGCAGUUUACCAUCCAGGGUUACACCAGGGCAGUUUACAAUCCAGGGUUACACCAGGGCAGUUUACCAUCCAGGGUUACACCAGGGCAGUUUACCAUCCAGGGUUACACCAGGGCAGUUUACCAUCCAGGGUUACACCAGGGCAGUUUACCAUCCAGGGUUACACCAGGGCAGUUUACCAUCCAGGGUUACACCAGGGCAGUUUACCAUCCAGGGUUACACCAGGGCAGUUUACCAUCCAGGGUUACACCAGGGCAGUUUACCAUCCAGGGUUACACCAGGGCAGUUUACAAUCCAGGGUUACACCAGGGCAGUUUACCAUCCAGGGUUACACCAGGGCAGUUUACCAUCCAGGGUUACACCAGGGCAGUUUACCAUCCAGGGUUACACCAGGGCAGUUUACCAUCCAGGGUUACACCAGGGCAGUUUACCAUCCAGGGUUACACCAGGGCAGUUUACCAUCCAGGGUUACACCAGGGCAGUUUACCAUCCAGGGUUACACCAGGUUAGUUUACCAUCCAGGGUUACACCAGGGCAGUUUACCAUCCAGGGUUACACCAGGGCAGUUUACCAUCCAGGGUUACACCAGGGCAGUUUACAAUCCAGGGUUACACCAGGGCAGUUUACC
ensembl:lncRNA